rnacentral:rRNA from 13 species
AAAGAAGAAAAGAAAGAAGAAAAGAGAGGAGAAAAGAAAGAGGAGAGGAGAGUUGAAAAGAGAGCAGAAGGAGAGAAGAGAGAAGAAAAGAGUCCGGACCAGCCCACCCAAAAUUAAUAUCUAAUUUGUGUGUGAUACAAGUGUCUCCUUUGAUAGAGAGAGAAGGAAAGAGAUGUUUUAUGUCUGGGGGAAGAGAAACUUCAUGCAAAAUUAUCAUCUCUUUUUUGUUUUCUUUCUCUUUUUCUUCUUCUUUUUUGUUUUCUUCU